UCCUCCCUCAAACCCCCUGGGUUUGGUGUUGGACCGCGUGGGGCCGUCCGCGGCACCACGGGUCUCAAAGACAAUGACGGCGUCCGUGGGACCCUCUUCGCACUGAGCUUUCCGGAGCACGCGUCGAGUUUCAAGGUGUCAUGGGCCCGGCCUCUUAAAACGAAUUUUUUCA
rnacentral:misc_RNA from 1 species